UUACGGCCACAUCAUGUUGAAACGCCGUAUUCCCGUAUGUUCACCGAAGUUAAGCAACACUGAGCCUGGUCAGUAAGUACCGAAAAGGGUGACUGCUUGGGAAUACCAGGUGUUGUAC